AGUGAACGCUGGCGGUAGGCCUAACACAUGCAAGUCGAACGGCAGCACAGGAGAGCUUGCUCUCUGGGUGGCGAGUGGCGGACGGGUGAGGAAUACAUCGGAAUCUACUCUGUCGUGGGGGAUAACGUAGGGAAACUUACGCUAAUACCGCAUACGACCUACGGGUGAAAGUGGGGGACCGCAAGGUCUCACGCGAUUGAAUGAGCCGAUGUCGGAUUAGCUAGUUGGCGGGGUAAAGGCCCACCAAGGCGACGAUCCGUAGCUGGUCUGAGAGGAUGAGCAGCCACACUGGAACUGAGACACGGUCCAGACUCCUACGGGAGGCAGCAGUGGGGAAUAUUGGACAAUGGGCGCAAGCCUGAUCCAGCCAUACCGCGUGAGUGAAGAAGGCCCUCGGGUUGUAAAGCUCUUUUGUUGGGAAAGAAAUCCAGCCGGUUAAUACCUGGCUGGGAUGACGGUACCCAAAGAAUAGCACCGGCUAACUUCGUGCCAGCAGCCGCGGUAAAAC
rnacentral:rRNA from 1 species